AUAAAGGUAGACUAAUUUUAAGUCAAUAAACUCAUAAUUUAUAAAUAAAUAAUUUUUCUUUAUA
rnacentral:tRNA from 1 species